AUGCCGACCCACAAAUUCUCGCGUCGCGAAGGUCUUCUUCAUGUCAGGAUGAGACAGAUAAACCAUCCAGUGACCAUGGAUGUGCUUCGCCAGUUGUUUCAUCGCUCGGGUUCCGGAGAAUUGCUAUGUGCGUUUGAGAGAACUGUAGAUGGGGAGUACUGUGUGGAGGCCUAUGUCCUGUUCCGCUCUCGAUGGAUGGCGGACAGGGCUCGUGCUGCUCUCGACGGCCACGGCGUCUACGAGGGGUGUUGCUUCCUCACCAUCCACCUUCUACCACCGACCUACACCGCCAUCACCAUGCCGGAUGACGACGGGAUGGCGCCUGAGUACUUCUACGACGACACGCCGUACGCGGAGUGGGCUGCAGCCUUGGCCGCGGCCGAGUGCCACGGCGAGGUCGACACGGCGACCCUGCUCAUGGCGGACGUGAGGCGGACUGAUUCAGCAAGUGUGGAGUCCUCUCCGCCCCAGCUCCGGGCAUUCCCCACCCCUGGCCAUGACGCCGCCUUCGCCAGCAAAUUGCCAGUGGUCGCUUGA
rnacentral:rRNA from 1 species